CACUCUUUUGCCUGUCUUUUUCUUUCUAAAAUUUAUCUUUGGGUUUCAAUCAAUGUUCAUCGUAUUAUCAUUCUUAGGAGGAUCAGCGACUUAUCUGGAAUGGGGUCGGUUAAGCUCAACUACAACUGGUUGUAGGUUUAGCUCGCUUAUACAACUGCCGCUUCCAAGCUCUCACACCCAAUUCAUGUUCCACUUCUUCCAAGCAGACACAUGGGGGGAUUUCUUUUUUUCUUUCUUUCUUUUUAUUUUUAUUUUUAAUCCUUCUUUUCUUUUAUUUUCUUUUUUGAAAUGAAACUACGAUGUUAUAUCAAACAUACAGUUGUUGACUUCAGUGAUGUAUUUAAAGUGAACAGAGGGAGAAUACAUGAAGAGAGUUUUGAAUUUACUGGUAAUGAAAUUGUUGUUCAUAUUUGGGCUUCACUCAAGCGGGACAGUUUGAACACAAUGUUUCCUACUCAAACAUAUGUAGACUAAUCUUUCUUUGGCACUCGAAAUGUUUUUUUUUUCUUGUAUUUUUGUACCAAGGUCUGUUAUGGUCAUGCAAUUUUGGAUUGCAGUGAUCUUUCAUACAAUGAUUUCACACUAGAAAAGUCGAUAACAUCUCAGUGUCAACUAGGGAAUGUAUGCAUUGAGGUUGGAAAGCCUCGAGCUUGUGCAACCUAGCUCUCUUACAAUCCAACACACACCUGGAUAGAAGAUGUGCAAUAUCCAAGCUUUCCAUCAGGUGGUUCCCCACUUCUUGAUGCCACAGUCCAAAAAUCAGGCAAGUCCACUCCAUAUGCUUAUUCAAAGUGGAAGUAACUAUAUAGAGUGUAGGCUCAGGGGUCCACAAUGCUUACAUGGAUGCAUGAUCAAAGCUGCUCAUCAGGUGGAGCAUUUGGGGUGAAAUGUGGUAGCCCAGAGGGGGGCUUUGCUGCUUUAUAUGGGGAUGGAUAUGAACUUCAUUCGGGUGUUGCUGACAAAGGUCCUCUAUAUGGCAUGAGUUCUGGUUCUUGGGGUGCAUUUGAGAAGUCUCGCAUCGAGUGUUGCUGAAAUUCGUUGCUUUUUUUUUUUCCUCCUGCUUUUCCUUGUGUCUCAAUCUAUAAAAUUUUCUGUCCAUUAUGUAACCUUUCAUUCUCAGGCUCUCUAUAAAUGAGGCUAGUUGUA